GAAUAUGGCCACACCACUCUGAACACGCCUGAUCUUGUCUGAUCUCAUGAAGCUAAGCAGGGUCAGGCCUGGUUAGUACUUGGAUGGGAGGAAUAGCUCUUGAAAUUU
rnacentral:rRNA from 1 species